AGCUCCCUCUACCAGCAAGUUACACAAUAACAGUCACAUGUAGCAGGGCAGGUAUACUACCUUUAUAUCUCAGGCAUUCUCAACACACCUUCUUCACAGAAAGACUGUGAUUUACAGCAGACACAUUGCCGUACAGCCAUGGAAAGUUGCAAUGCUUUCUAUGAAACUGGAAUUGGUGUGUUUGACAACCAAGCAGGACAGUUCAACCAAAUGCCUUCAUGUCUAUACAGCAUACCUUGCUCUGGUCAGCAGAAUUGGGAGAUGACACUGGUACACACCAGAGACAAUGACAAAGUAACAGAUUGUUUAUAUGAUCCGUGUUCUGUUCCAUUCUAUAACAGUGCACAGUCUGAGAUUGCUCACUUUCUUCCUGUCACUCAGACCUCAGCAACUGUUGAAGAGGACUCUGAAAGUUGUCAUUAUCCUUGGAUGAAAUCAACUAAAUUCCAUCCCAG